rnacentral:lncRNA from 1 species
GUCACAUGAUGGACAUGAUAUAAUGAAACAACAUUGUGGAGAGGAAAGCAUUAGGGGAGCCCACGGCUACAAAAACAAGUGAGUGAGAAGAGGUGGGAGGAAGAGAAACUACGCCACCUCCCCUGCAGCCGAGUGCACGCAGCAGCCUGGCGUGACAAGUGGGCGACGCCGGGGGGCAGGGAGCCGGGGUCCUUGGCCCUGGCCGGGGACCCCACCGCCCACCGCGCGGAGGACAACUUUUAGCCGGCAGCCCAGACCAGCGCGGCACCUGUCUCCGGAGUCUCCACCGCUCCUCCCGAUUCAUCCCAGGGAAAUUCUCAAGAAUACGCUCUACAAAUCUACGUGCGCAUCAUUUUCACCUCGCGUCGCGCCCGGGAGGAAGGAACGAGGCAAGGAGCUAAAGCAGCGUGCGUUCAGCCCUGGGGCAUUUUAUUAAUGCUUUUACGAGUUAGAAGAGUUGGGAUAAUUUGCCAUCUGGAGUUUCUCUGCCUUGCUGAUCUGAGCUCAGACCUGCCAAUUUACCAGAGAUAAUUGAUAACACCCUGUAACAGCUGAGAGGAAAAUGGAAGAAACGGAGAUACUUUUAGUGAAGCAGAAUAAACCACUGAACAGUCUGUUUCAUCUUCAUAAAAACGCUGCUUUCAGUGCACUGGAUUUAUUUUACAACCCACUAAUGGAUUACCCUACAGUUUGAAAAACAUUGCGUUAGACCAGUUUGACUGUUGUCAAGAACCAAAAAAGGAAAAAUGAGGAAGCUGUGAGUACCAGUGGAAGGAACGAGCCAGGAAGAGGGACUGGAACCAUCUCAGAAGCCAUGCCCCUCAGGCUGGAACUUGCCCUGUCUCCUCGCAGAUGAGCUACCUCUUGUGUUUAAGAAUUAAAGGAAGAUGAGCUAGGAAUCAAGAAAUACGCAGAACUGAUUCCUGUCACUGGCGCCACCCUGCCACUUGCCCAGAGCUGUGGUAUAAAUUUUUUUAAUAGGCUGAAAUAAAAAUAUGAAUAGCAUUUUGGUAUUAAGCAUUAAAUUGAUAAAGGCUAUGAGAUACACCUGCUCUCAACCAUGUUAAUUUUUUAUUAUUGGUAUUAAUAAAUUAUUACUUACUAACAUAUUAACAAGAAUUGCAUUGAGAAACAAAGCAUCCACAGGCCAAAUCUUCUGAAUUUCAAAUGUUUAUAUUAAUGCGUUGUAUUCUAGAAAAGUAGAAUUGUCUUAAGUAGCUUUGUAAUAUAAAGUCAUCUAUCAGCCCAUUACACCUAUUAGAAUGUUUUAACCUUUAUUUCCCACUUUUUUGUUUCUAGACUGAGUGUACUUGGUCUGGUAUUUGUGGCAUAACUUACGGAACACAUAAGAAUGAUACAGAUACUAUUUAAUGAUGACCUAAUACAAGCUUAGAUAGCUAAGGUGAAAGCUUCUAUGGCCUUAACAUUUUCCUCUUGAAGAAUGUAUUUUCUGUAAUAAAAUACAGUGGCUACUUGAAAUCUAUAAACUUAUGUGAGGUCUGGAUAAAUCUGAGCAACUUUCUUCUUUGUGCUCCAGGAACCUACGCACUAUAUAUAUAAAUAAAGCUUAAGUAAACAUCACUGCAA